GCCGAGAUAGCUCAACUGGUAGAGCAACAGUAUCGUAAACCGUAGGUUGUGGGUUCAAGUCCCAUUCUCGGCU
rnacentral:tRNA from 1 species